ACGAACGCUGGCGGCAUGCCUCACACAUGCAAGUCGAACGAGACCUUCGGGUCUAGUGGCGCACGGGUGCGUAACGCGUGGGAACCUGCCCUUAGGUUCGGAAUAACUCCCCGAAAGGGGUGCUAAUACCGGAUAAUGUCUUCGGACCAAAGAUUUAUCGCCUUUGGAUGGGCCCGCGUUGGAUUAGCUAGUUGGUAGGGUAAAAGCCUACCAAGGCGACGAUCCAUAGCUGGUCUGAGAGGAUGAUCAGCCACACUGGGACUGAGACACGGCCCAGACUCCUACGGGAGGCAGCAGUGGGGAAUAUUGGACAAUGGGCGAAAGCCUGAUCCAGCAAUGCCGCGUGAGUGAUGAAGGCCUUAGGGUUGUAAAGCUCUUUUACUCGGGAUGAUAAUGACAGUACCGGGAGAAUAAGCUCCGGCUAACUCCGUG
rnacentral:rRNA from 1 species